GGCCCCCGGCCCCACGCGCGGUGCUACUGCGGCUGCGGCCGCCGCCGAUUGUUUUUGUUUUCACAGGAACCGACCGAUGACCUGGUUCUCUCCCGGGCUGCACCAAGCGCCGCCGGCCCGAGGGGGAGGGCGGGUAGAGAGCGCCUGGCCGCGGGUCGUACCAAGCGGGGCGUCCGCUGGAAAGAAGGGGGGGGCCGGAUAGCCCACAGAGAGCGGCGGCCCGGGACUCAGGUAGUGCCGAGCGCGGGGCCGGCCGCGCGCAGCCGCGGUUAAAGCGUGGGCUGUACCACAGGAGGCGAGCGAGGGGAGAGGAGGGAGAAACCACCGGACACCCCCGCUCUUGCCAGGCCAAAGGGCAUGCGUAAAGGGAAAGGGGGGAGGCUCCAAGCGGCUGGAAUCCAGUGGGAAACGGCUUCUAACUCCUCCCCCGGGGACGGCGUGAAAACUAGCCAAUGGCCCGGUGCCUAGAGAGGAGGCACUACGUCAUGAGGGAAUCUUCUCCAAUCCAGCACCGCAACAUCAAACCUCCCCCAAUCCGGGUCGAGUGGGCCAAACCAACCGACACGCUGUCGGAGGGGGGGAAAGCGCUCCCGGGAAGGCAAAAGCAACACCGCCCCUUGCUUAAGGAAGCUUGUGCACCACGUCCCAGCUCCUUUCCUAUUUCCAACCUCGCUAGGAUCAGGACGGGAGUGGCCGACCUGACCAGGUCCCAUUGGUAACCGAGGCCCCGCCGCCUCAUACCACCCUACCAACCGUCCUGGGAUGGAAAGGGACCACACUGGAGACUGGAUCUCCAGCAGGAGCAAGCCAAUGGCUUUUAUUAGUCAUUGUGAUUAAUUAGUGACCUUAGAACCCGGUUGGCUCGGUGGGCGGGGGGAGACGCGGGGAGAGAAGGGAGGAGGGAAUUCCAGAAGGCAGGAAGGGCGCAGGCGCAGGCGAGAGGCGGAGCCGACAGGCGCGUGGCUCCCGCACGUGCGGAGGAGGGAAGGCGGGGCUCCUUUGGUUUCCAUGUGUCGGUGUGUUUGUAUUUAUCCGCGGCGCGGGAGGGGUAGGGGAGGAGCCCCUGGAUCGGGCUCCGCUGCGGCUGCUCCGGGAGCUUGGUCCUUCAGUCCUCCGCCCAUGCCUCCUCUUUCUUCCGCGCGCCCAUCCUGCGCUCUUGUUUGUAAACUCUUCGAUUUCUCCAAAUAGACAUUUUCAACCUCUUCAGUUUGAAGAAAAAAUGUUUAAAAAGCUCUUUCCAUCCUCCUAGUAACUGGAGUAACUUGCAGGAAGACUUGAGUGCAAAUCCAUUCUCACUAGGUGUGGGACCCUGCCUCAGUUUCCUCAUCUGCAAAAUGGAAAUAACAUCCCGAGUGGUUUCGAGGAUCAGAUGAGAUUAUAUUUAUAAAGCGCUUCAUAAACGCUAUUGUUAUUAGCUCAUUCUGGAACCCUUUUUGCCCUCACCCCCUCCUGCCUCUUUUGGCCUUCACUGGUGCAUGUGUCCACGGGGCAAGAGGAACCUCCAUCGGCCCCCCCUCACCCAGAUCCUACCUUUAUCCCUGCCUGCUCUUUCCUCAGUCCCCAUUCCCACUCAGGCCAGAAGUCUGGUUUCUCCCCCAUCCCCUCCCGGACCCGGACUCCAACCCCUCCCUCUCCAGCUCUGGGCCAGGCCAGAGCAUUUGGGGGCUCUGGUUUCUCCUCUCCUUUUCUGCACCUCCUCCCACUUCUUACCUGAUGCUUGCCAAAGUUCAGACCUCCCAUCCCUGCUCUUUUCUAGGAAAACUCAGCCAUUCUCAUCACUUGAACAAUCUAUGUAGAAAAUUUUCCAAAUUUGUGUCUCUGGCCCUGACCUGUUUUGCUCCCAAGACCCAAACAUCUCCCUUAGAACAAUCCAUUGUUAACUCAUAUUUUUUAGAGAAUGUUAAAAAUUGUGUUACAUUGUAAUUGGGGAAAUAAAAUACUAACUUUUUUUUUAAAAAACGAUCUAUUGUUAACCUUGAUCUUACCCUAUCCAAAACAAUAUAUCACCUUUAUCAGAACCUGCUCUCUCUGACUUCCCCGUUUCUAUCAGAAUCUCCAUCUUUUUUGAUGUCUACAAGUCACAAAUCCUAUUAUCUCUCCCAUUUUACUUUCUCUUCCAGGCAGUUCUUUUGGUUUGCAGUUAGGAGUUUAUCAUGUGUCAUAUCUCUUAAAGAAAUUAUUUUACAAGCUUCUUGGAAAAACUCGAAGACCUCAAGAAUAGUAGAAUCUUCCUGUUGCCAAUCCAGCAAAAAAAAGACAUCAUCCAACUUUUGGGGAGCUGUGACCUGAUAUCUCUUCCUGCUAUUGUUAAAGGCCUCCUAAGAGACCCCAGCUACAAAAGAUAUGGAAACAAAAGUCUUUGACAUUCCCCUGUGGUUCAUCAUCAGAAAUGGGACUUAAGUUACACGAAGACAUUUGUGGAUUGUCCCUUUUCAAAGCGGAUCAGUGACAUGAAGGAUGAUGACUUGACUCGUGAGUGAAUUGGAUUUAAGGGAGACAGAGCCGUACCAAGUCAUCGAUUGAUGUCACUCUCUUUCUCAGUCAUCUGAGUCCAGAGACUUCUGAAGCCAUAUAUCUGGGAAAGCAACCUCCAUGAAGAUAAGACCAGCCAUACUAUCAACUGCCAUCUUUGGGGCAGAUCAGCCUGUCAAGCUGGAACAUUGAGGCUUCUGAGGAAGAUACAAGAAACAUUCUGUGCCUGAUGGGCCAAGCACCUGCUUCAUCCUCAAUCAUUACUUUCAACUACAACUAGCCACCACCAAUGGACAGGAGCUAUAGCUACUGCUUCCUUACUGAAGACCUGGAAAAGAAAACUCUUGACACCAUUUUGGUCCUGAAAGUGGCUCAAAAUCAGAAACAAAUAUAGU